UGCCAGACUCCUACGGGAGGCAGCAGUGAGGAAUAUUGGUCAAUGGUCGUAAGACUGAACCAGCCAAGUAGCGUGCAGGAUGACGGCCCUAUGGGUUGUAAACUGCUUUUAUGCGGGGAUAAAAUGCGUCACGUGUGAUGUUUUGUAGGUACCGCAUGAAUAAGGACCGGCUAAUUCCGUGCCAGCAGCCGCGGUAAUACGGAAGGUCCGGGCGUUAUCCGGAUUUAUUGGGUUUAAAGGGAGCGUAGGCCGCAUGUUAAGCGUGCCGUGAAAUGCCGUGGCUCAACCAUGGCACUGCGGCGCGAACUGGAGGCCUUGAGUGCGCGGAAGGCAGGCGGAAUUCGUGGUGUAGCGGUGAAAUGCUUAGAUAUCACGAAGAACCCCGAUUGCGAAGGCAGCCUGCCGCAGCGUUACUGACGCUGAAGCUCGAAAGCGCGGGUAUCGAACAGGAUUAGAUACCCCAGUACGG
rnacentral:rRNA from 1 species